rnacentral:rRNA from 1 species
CCUACGGGUGGCAGCAGUGAGGAAUAUUGGUCAAUGGCCGGAAGGCUGAACCAGCCAAGUCGCGUGAGGGACGACUGCCCUAUGGGUUGUAAACCUCUUUUAUAAGGGAAGAAUAAAUGCUACGUGUAGCAUGAUGCCUGUACCUUAUGAAUAAGCAUCGGCUAACUCCGUGCCAGCAGCCGCGGUAAUCCGGAGGAUGCGAGCGUUAUCCGGAUUUAUUGGGUUUAAAGGGUGCGUAGGCGGUUUUUUAAGUUAGUGGUUAAACGUCGGGGCUUCACCUUGAUUUGCCAUUAAUACUGCCUUGCUGGAAUGCGGAUGCCGUGGGAGGAAUGUGUGGUGUAGCGGUGAAAUGCAUAGAUAUCACACAGAACACCGAUUGCGAAGGCAUCUCACGAAUCCGCGAUUGACGCUGAUGCACGAAAGCGUGGGUAUCAAACAGGAUUAGAUACCCUGGUAGUC